AGCAGCCGCGGUAAUUCCAGCUCCAAUAGCGUAUAUUAAAGUUGUUGCAGUUAAAAGCUCGUAGUUGAAUUUCGGGAUUUAUCCGUCGGUCGGGCUUUUGGGUCUGUACUGGCGUGAUGAAUUCCUACCUUCUGAAUAACCAGCAUGCCAUUAAUUUGGUGCGCCGGGGAAGCAGGACUGUUACCUUGAAAAAUUAGAGUGCUUAAAGCAGGCUAUUGCCUGAAUACAUUAGCAUGGAAUAAUGAAAUAGGACGGCAUGGUUCUAUUUUGUUGGUUUCUAGGAUCACCGUAAUGAUUAAUAGGGAUAGUUGGGGGCAUUAGUAUUCAAUUGCCAGAGGUGAAAUUCUUGGAUUUAUUGAAGACU
rnacentral:misc_RNA from 1 species